UCAAAAUGAGCAGAGCCUCGUUAA
rnacentral:siRNA from 1 species